rnacentral:rRNA from 1 species
GGUUGCGAUCAUACCAGCACUAAUGCACCGGAUCCCAUUAGAACUCCGUAGUUAAGCGUGCUUGGGCGAGAGUAGUACUAGGAUGGGUGACCCCCUGGGAAGUCCUCGUGUUGCAACCC